CGGCCGCUGGACCCAAGCGCAGCAGACACCACCACCGCGGUGCGCCGCCAUCGCCGGGCCGCCGCCUGCUCCCUCAUUCUCGCGGCAGAUCCGCCGCGGCCUGAAGACCACGGCGCCGUCGCUCAUCUCGCCAUCUCCAUUUCCUUCUCUUCUAUUUAUCUCUCUACACGCCCUGACCCUCUCCCUCUCUUUCCUCGAUCUGCCGGAACAGGACGCACGCCGCCGUCAAAACGGUGCGCCGCCGCUGCUGCCUCCGUCGUCCUCGCCGGUGGCUCACGGCCAGGAGCCGUCGACCGCCGACAACCAGAACGGAACCACCGCGGCUCCGCCGCCGUCUCGCCAUCGCCAGAGACGGCGAGCCACCGAGGCUGCCCUCCCCCUGACCUCGACUCACACAUACAAAAACAGGGACUCAAGCCUCACAUUCAGUUCAUAAAAUAGCAUAGGGUUUCUUAGCACAUAUCAUUCUCAAACUGUAAUUGCUUAACCAAAUCUGAAUUUCUUUUCUUGCAAAUCAAACACUCAAUUAAAAGUUUCA